rnacentral:lncRNA from 1 species
AGACUUACCGGGAGGUUGUGGAUCGAGCAUUGAUAGUAGAGGCAGGAGCGGCGGAUCUGCUGGAGCGUCGCGAGAGCUUGGAGAAAGGGAAGGGGAAGAGACCCGCGGCUGAGGGUGCGAGUCAGACGCACUCACGGAGGCCGCCGAGGCAUCCCAGGAGCAGGAGCCAGUCGCGAGGACGCGGCCAGUCUACUCAGCGAGGAGGACCCGAUCGUCAUCAGGCUCCCCGCUGCGUGAUCUGUGGCGGUCCUCAUUACCCGCGGCAGUGUUCACGCAGCCGG